CCGCUCUUGUCGCGCUUGACAC
rnacentral:miRNA from 10 species